rnacentral:rRNA from 1 species
UACGAAGGGGGCUAGCGUUGCUCGGAAUUACUGGGCGUAAAGGGCGCGUAGGCGGACAUUUAAGUCAGGGGUGAGAUCCCAGGGCUCAACUCUGGAACUGCCUUUGAUACUGGGUGUCUUGAGUGUGAGAGAGGUAUGUGGAACUCCGAGUGUAGAGGUGAAAUUCGUAGAUAUUCGGAAGAACACCAGUGGCGAAGGCGACAUACUGGCUCAUUACUGACGCUGAGGCGCGAAAGCGUGGGGAGCAAACAGG